GAUGAACGCUGACAGAAUGCUUAACACAUGCAAGUCAACUUGAAUUUGGGUUUUUACCUUAGGUUUGGGUGGCGGACGGGUGAGUAACGCGUAAAGAACUUGCCUCACAGCUAGGGACAACAUUUGGAAACGAAUGCUAAUACCUAAUAUUAUGAUAAUAGGGCAUCCUAUAAUUAUGAAAGCUAUAAGCGCUGUGAGAGAGCUUUGCGUCCCAUUAGCUAGUUGGAGAGGUAACGGCUCACCAAGGCGAUGAUGGGUAGCCGGCCUGAGAGGGUGAUCGGCCACAAGGGGACUGAGACACGGCCCUUACUCCUACGGGAGGCAGCAGUGGGGAAUAUUGGACAAUGGACCAAGAGUCUGAUCCAGCAAUUCUGUGUGAACGAUGAAGUUUUUCGGAAUGUAAAGUGCUUUCAGUUGGGAAGAAAGAAAUGACGGUACCAACAGAAGAAGUGACGGCUAAAUACGUG
rnacentral:rRNA from 1 species